UACGUAGGGCGCAAGCGUUAUCCGGAAUUAUUGGGCGUAAAGAGCUCGUAGGCGGUUUGUCGCGUCUGCCGUGAAAGUCCGGGGCUCAACUCCGGAUCUGCGGUGGGUACGGGCAGACUAGAGUGAUGUAGGGGAGACUGGAAUUCCUGGUGUAGCGGUGAAAUGCGCAGAUAUCAGGAGGAACACCGAUGGCGAAGGCAGGUCUCUGGGCAUUAACUGACGCUGAGGAGCGAAAGCUGGGGAGCGAACAGG
rnacentral:rRNA from 1 species